AAGCACCCACUGAACACCCUGCCAAGCAGUCGGAUUUUGGAAGUGUCAGCCCACAGAGUCACCAACACUGACAUCAACUUCCUGGUGAAAUGUCUGGGCAGCAUCCCCACUUCAGCCUGUACCAUCGUGUCAGACCCCAGCUGCACUCAGGUACGCAACAUCAUGUGCAACGAUGUGCCGCCUCUCUCGGAGUGCAAAGUGCAUCUGACGCGAAGAUUUCUGGAACCGGGCACCUACUGUGUGAACAUCACUUUGGAGAACUCCAGCAGCUUGACCCUUACCAGCACCACCAUCACCAUCAACAAGUCCCAGGACACACCUGUGUCCACAACCUCUCACACUGCCCAAGUCGUUCUCUCCUCAAGUGCUGUUCUGGGG